AAAGCAGGUCAGGCAAUCGCGGCCUUGACGGUUUCGAUCGAAGAGGGCGAGGAAAGUCCGGACUCCACAGGGCAGGGUGAUGGCUAACGGCCAUCCGUGGCGACACGCGGAACAGGGCAACAGAAAGCAAACCGCCGAUGACUCCGGGCGCAAGCCGGGAGAUCAGGUAAGGGUGAAACGGUGCGGUAAGAGCGCACCGCGGACGCUGCGAGGCAAUCCGGCACGGUAACCUCCACCCGGAGCAAUUCCAAAUAGGCAGGCACGCAUCUUCGCGAUGCAGGACGGUGCCCCCGCUCGCCUGCGGGUAGGAAGCUCGAGCGUGUCAGCAAUGGCGCGCCUAGAGGAAUGAUUGCCACGCGCGGCGCGUUUCGGCGGGACGCGUGCACAGAAUCCGGCUUAUCGGCUUGCUUUGUCG
rnacentral:RNase_P_RNA from 2 species